AAGGACAUACGGACCAUGGCGUCGCUGGUUUUAUGGGAGCUCUGGAAGCAUCGGAAUGCGAUCGUUUUUGAGGGGGCGACCCCUUCUACCACGGUGUUGAUCGCUAGGGUUGAGUGCGAGGCCCGGGCUUGGAGUACGGCUGGUCUGCUUAAGGGCAACCUCUCCUCCUUCCUUGUGAUGUAG
rnacentral:rRNA from 1 species